UUACGGCCACAUCACGUUUAAAACACGGUUUCCCGUAUGAUCUCUGAAGUUAAGCAAUGUCGAGCCUGGUCAGCACCAAGGUGGGUGACUGUUCGAGAAUUCCAGGUGCUGUAA